ACGGCCUAAAGCGUGGUUAAAUUAUAUUAAAAUAAAUAGAAAUAAAAAUUAACUCGACUGUCAUACGUUUAUGUUAAAUGGCGAACCAAAAACGAAAGAUAUUCUAACAAACAAAUUAUUUGAACCCACGAAAGCUAAGAAACAAACUAGGAUUAGAUACCCUACUAUGCUUAGCCCUAAACUUUGGAACCACCCCGCCUGAGUACUACGAGCCACAGCUUAAAACUCAAAGGACUUGGCGGUGCUCUACACCCCCCUAGAGGAGCCUGUUCUAUAAUUGAUACCCCCCGCUAAACCUCACCACUUAUUGCCAAUACCGCCUAUAUACCGCCGUCGUCAGCUCACCAUUUAAGUGGAGAAUAGUAGGCAUAAUGAUAAACAUAAAAACGUCAGGUCAAGGUGUAGCGAAUUAAGUGGAAAGAAAUGGGCUACAUUUUCUAAAUUAGAAAAAUACGAAGAAUUUUAUGAAAAACUAUUUAAAGGUGGAUUUAGCAGUAAAAAGAAAAUAGAGUGUUCUUUUUAAAUAGGCCAUAGAGCGCGCACACACCGCCCGUCACCCUCCUCGAAAAACCAACCAAUUAUAUAAUAAAAGAAAAUAAAAGAAGAGGUAAGUCGUAACAUGGUAAGUUUACCGGAAGGUGUACUUGGAUUAU
rnacentral:rRNA from 1 species